UACUAAAGCUUUGAAAACGGAUGCACUCUCGUUUUGGAAUUUUACUCCUUUCGACAACAUCAUAGAGAAGACGGUUAACAAGAAUGUGUUGGUCGGUGAGUUAUUUUGACAAUUUUAU
rnacentral:sRNA from 1 species